GGCAGUUGGGGAACCUGACAGCUCCUUGCAAUUCUCAUUGUCAGUGUUCAUCUUCAGUUUAUAGUGCUAUAUGUGGAAGAGAUGAUAUUGGGUAUUUCUCUCCUUGCUAUGCAGGCUGUGCACAAUCUAAAACAAUAAGUGAUCAUGAGGUAUACUACAAUUGCUCUUGCAUUAAACAUGGAUUAAUAACAUUGGAUGAGCAAGGUGAUUCUAUUGAUGCUAGAUCUGGGACAUGUGAUCCCAAAUGUUAUAAACUUCCUUUGUUCCUUGCUUUUGUGUUAUCUACAGUUAUAUUUUCUUGUUUUACUGGUAUACCAAGCAUCCUGGCCAUCCUCAGUUUUAAUGUGCAAAUCAGCCUCUAUCAUCUUCAUUGCUACUGCAUUUGGCCUAUUCAAAUAUUUACCAGGGGGAAAAAAGACUAUCAUGCCUAUACCUGUAAGGACUCCAACAGUAAAGAAGAAGAAGAGAAGAACUUGAGAGAGUUAUAACUUAAGUUAUAACUUGAACAUAAUUGUGUAAGAAUUAUAUAUCAUCAGUCUAUCAAUGAAAUAUUGUAUUAAUAAAAUUUAAAAUAAUUGUGAUACAGGUAUACGUUUAAUAAGUGAAUGUAAUUUACAUGAUGCUAUGUUUUAGCGUAUUUUGAGUACAAACAUAAUAAUAUAGUCUCCAUGUUUUGUAUUUUCAAAGAGAAAUUAUAAGAUACACAUUUAAUACUUUUAAUAGAAAGAUAACUUUAAAGAAAGGGAUGAAGUUGAAGUGAAAAAAUACACAAGUUAAUACCAUUUAUAAUAA